rnacentral:rRNA from 1 species
CGUGUAGGCGGUUGGGUAAGUCAGAUGUGAAAGCCUUCCGCUCAACGGAAGAAGGGCAUUUGAAACUACCCAGCUAGAGUACGGGAGAGGAAAGUGGAAUUCCCGGUGUAGAGGUGAAAUUCGUAGAUAUCGGGAGGAACACCUGUGGCGAAGGCGGCUUUCUGGUCCGAUACUGACGCUGAGACGCGAAAGCGUGGGUAGCAAACAGGAUUAGAUACCCUGGUAGUCCACGCCGUAAACGAUGGGCACUAGGUGUAGGAGGUAUUGACCCCUUCUGUGCCGAAGUUAACGCAUUAAGUGCCCCGCCUGGGGAGUACGGCCGCAAGGCUAAA